GAAAUGAGAACUUUUACUUGGCAGGGAUACUCAGGACCUGUUUGUAAACACCUGAGGAGUUUGUGGGGGCUGUCUGCCUUCAAGUUCUUGUUUUUGAUUGUACAAAUCAAGUCUUGUGUCAAGUUUAUAAGCAAUGAAUAAGUGCUGCAGGGUGAGCAGGGGGCUAGCCCUGUGGUAUCAGCUUGCUUGCUGAUUGCCUGCAUACCGGACCCACCUCGAGACCAAGGGCAGGAUGGUUAAGAGUCCUUUCAUACCAAUAGCACUUGACAGCUUGGGGCUCCAAGUUUGUGCCUGGAGGUCGCUGUCCUGUCCAAACCCAGAGGGAGCAACAAGCACCUUGGAGGAAAGAGAUCUCACUAUGCUUUCCUCCAAGGAAGGGAGGACAGUGAGAAAGCAGAUGUGUUUUUCUGGAAGAUAAUGUAAUUUAUAUUGAACUACACUUUCUAAAGUCCACAGAUGAAAAUAAAUUCUUGUGAUUCUAAAUAAAGCCAUGGGUACUUCAUUACAGAUCUUUCAAUUAGCUCCUGUGCAUUUUACAUAUCUUCUGUAAGAGCAAAUAUGGAUUUGGAGUUGCUUUUAAUCUAUCUUGUAGGUCCUCCCCAAAAGGUAGGCAGAGUGAACCUGACAGGAGAAGGUGCUUUGUUCAUCUGAGGUCUCGUUCUACUCCACUCUGUCUGAAACCAGUCCCAGAAGCCUUGUUUUAUGUGUCUUGUUUGUGACAGCCUUUUCCACCCACUCACUUCUGUCACAUGUGGCUGCCUGGGUAUUCAAACCUCUCUAAUGUGUAAUUAACCUUGUGCCACGUCCUGCUGUGAGCCAUCCCAGAAUCUGUGUGCCAGAGGAGAUGCUCUGGAAGCAAAUCUAGCUUUUCUGGUACUUGGCAAACCUGAUUUGUGACUUUUCCUGUCACUUGGCUCACAGCCCAUCUCCCCUACCCUCCUCAAAAAGACAAAGCGUGCAGAUUCCAGGUCUUUGAAUGCCAUGUGAUUCCUGUCCAUUCUCACUCUUUCAUUGACAGCUGCCCUACUGGGAGCUGAGAGCUUUUCUAGGGCAUUACAUUUAACCCACCAGCUCAAUUCUGAGUAUCAGUUCCCUCAGCUUGUCCUUAUAAACCGUGCAGUGACAGGUACCAGUGCAGUGAGGAACCCUUAGAAUGCAGUGACAGGUACCAGUGCAGUGAAGCCUCCCCCACUGUGGUACCCAGUGCAGGUACCUGCAGAGCUUCUCCAUGGCAUGGGAGGUGCACACUCUGCAGGAAUGGGAUGAGAUGCACCCAAACCACCCAUCUUAAAUUCACAGGCCAAAAGCAGGCACUGUUGGCAAGGGGCAGAGAGCAUUUGGAAUCUGUGAUUUAAUUCCCUUUCCUUCCUCUCACUUCCCUUAUCCUGACAUUUCAGUUCCAUUUUCUUUGGUGCUCUCAUUCCUUGCCUGCCAGUCUCCUCUCCUUUGCUCCAGUGUCCCACCACAACAGUUAAUUUAUUGUGAAAGAAGAGGAAGGACACAAGAUGAGCCAGCCCCCAGCUACAAACAAUUGCAAAAAUUUUUGCUAUGAGACAAGUGGGAGGAAAGCCACAGUAAGGUACAACCAACGCACAGCUCAGGUGCAGGGGAACACCCAAAGAAUCAACCACAACACGUCUGAGGUUUGUCUUAAGUUGGAGCCUCUUUUGUUCCUUUAUCAACUUCAGCUCCAGGAGCCUUCUCAUCUUUCACUGUUUUUAAGCAUUACUUACUGAGGCCUUUUUAUGCCUAACCUUAAUUUCAAAUCCAUCAGACAUCUGGAAAGGCUGAAGGAUAGGUUUCACCACCUUCAAUUACAAAGAUAGAUGAUACAGAUCUUUGAACCUCCUUUGGUGAAAACACACCUUUGGACAGGCUCCUAACAGUUAUCAGUUGGUUUUAACCCAACUGAACCACCUCCCUUCAUUUCUCAGUGUUCUGAAUACUGGCAGCUGCACUGUCUUGCUCCACAGCCUUCACAAGCUGGUACCCAACCCUCUCAAAAUAACCUGACCACAAACCACUUGACCCAGUAGAACCCCCAGAGGUUCCCCAGCCCUGCCCUGCCCUACCUACACAUGGGGAUAGCUCGGCAAACUGGUGCGUGACGAGCCUCCCAAGGGGGUGUUAACCUCUGCCAAGAGGGGAAGGGCUGCUCUGCAGCAACUGCUGCUGCUUACCAGAGCACAGAUUUUUCUAAGUUGAAUUACUGAACAAGAACCACACACCUCAGCUGGCCUUGCCCAUAGAGAAAUGCCCCAUCUCUGCAGCUUUUAGUUUCCCAUAGAAAUGGGGAAUGCCUCAGACCUGGCACAUCCUGAGUGCUUCUCAGAAAAGCGUCUGUUUUUCAGAGACCCAUUUUCUUCUGGGGUGGGGCCGAUCUCAAAGAUAUCACAUGCCUUGGCAGAGUCCCGUUUGCUGCAGAGGAGCACAGGCACUGAAAUCAGUACUUAAAAUACAGGAUUGCAUUGGAGAAUUGGGUAUUGUCUCUGUGUAGGCACCAGCACGGGAGCAGCAGGAGGGUCACCCCACCCUCUCUGAGCAUCUGGCACUGAUGGGGACGGUGCCACCCGCGGGAUGG